rnacentral:rRNA from 1 species
GACGAACGCUGGCGGCGUGCUUAACACAUGCAAGUCGAGCGGUAAGGCCCUUCGGGGUACACGAGCGGCGAACGGGUGAGUAACACGUGGGUGACCUGCCCUUAGCUCUGGGAUAAGCCUGGGAAACUGGGUCUAAUACCGGAUAUGACCUCAUGACGCAUGUUGUGGGGUGGAAAGCCUUGUGCGGCUAGGGAUGGGCCCGCGGCCUAUCAGCUUGUUGGUGGGGUGAUGGCCUACCAAGGCGACGACGGGUAGCCGGCCUGAGAGGGCGACCGGCCACACUGGGACUGAGACACGGCCCAGACUCCUACGGGAGGCAGCAGUGGGGAAUCUUGCGCAAUGGGCGAAAGCCUGACGCAGCGACGCCGCGUGAGGGAUGACGG